rnacentral:rRNA from 1 species
GACGAACGCUGGCGGCGUGCCUAAUACAUGCAAGUAGAACGCUGAAGAGAGGAGCUUACUCUUCUUGGAUGAGUUGCGAACGGGUGAGUAACGCGUAGGUAACCUGCCUUGUAGCGGGGGAUAACUAUUGGAAACGAUAGCUAAUACCGCAUAACAAUGGAUGACACAUGUCAUUUAUUUGAAAGGGGCAAUUGCUCCACUACAAGAUGGACCUGCGUUGUAUUAGCUAGUAGGUGAGGUAAUGGCUCACCUAGGCGACGAUACAUAGCCGACCUGAGAGGGUGAUCGGCCACACUGGGACUGAGACACGGCCCAGACUCCUACGGGAGGCAGCAGUAGGGAAUCUUCGGCAAUGGGGGCAACCCUGACCGAGCAACGCCGCGUGGGUGAAGAAGGGUUUCGGAUCGUAAAGCUCGGUUGUAAGUCAAGAACGGGUGUGAGAGUGGAAAGUUCACACUGUGACGGUAGCUUACCAGAAAGGGACGGCUAACUACGUG